ACGACUCUCGGCAACGGAU
rnacentral:siRNA from 1 species